GAAGCUGCGGCAGCGACGCUGAUGCGUUGUUGGGUAGGGGAGCGUUCUGUAAGCCUGUGAAGGUGGCCUGUGAGGGUUGCUGGAGGUAUCAGAAGUGCGAAUGCUGACAUAAGUAACGAUAAAGCGGGUGAAAAGCCCGCUCGCCGGAAGACCAAGGGUUCCUGUCCAACGUUAAUCGGGGCAGGGUGAGUCGACCCCUAAGGCGAGGCCGAAAGGCGUAGUCGAUGGGAAACGGGUUAAUAUUCCCGUACUUGGUGUUACUGCGAAGGGGGGACGGAGAAGGCUAUGUUGGCCGGGCGACGGUUGUCCCGGUUUAAGCGUGUAGGUGUGUGUUCCAGGUAAAUCCGGUUCACUUUAACACUGAGGCGUGAUGACGAGGCACUACGGUGCUGAAGCAACAAAUGCCCUGCUUCCAGGAAAAGCCUCUAAGCAUCAGGUAACAUCAAAUCGUACCCCAAACCGACACAGGUGGUCAGGUAGAGAAUACCAAGGCGCUUGAGAGAACUCGGGUGAAGGAACUAGGCAAAAUGGUGCCGUAACUUCGGGAGAAGGCACGCUGACAC
rnacentral:rRNA from 1 species